rnacentral:tRNA from 1 species
GAGGGUAUAGCUCAAGUGGUAGAGUGCGUGCUUCCUAUGCACGGGGUCCUGGGUUCAAUCCUCAGCACCUCCU